UACGUAGGGGGCAAGCGUUGUCCGGAAUUAUUGGGCGUAAAGAGCGUGUAGGCGGCCAUACAGGUCAGCUGUGAAAACUCGAGGCUCAACCUCGAGACGUCGGUUGAAACCGUGUGGCUAGAGUCCGGAAGAGGAGAGUGGAAUUCCCGGUGUAGCGGUGAAAUGCGCAGAUAUCGGGAAGAACACCCGUGGCGAAGGCGGCUCUCUGGGACGGUACUGACGCUGAGACGCGAAAGCGUGGGGAGCGAACAGG
rnacentral:rRNA from 1 species